CGUUUAGGGGUAAACCUGAGAAACCCGAAAGGUCGAAGGGUGAAAUUCAAAUGCUGCUAGCGAGUGGAGGCUGGUGGUCGAGUGACGGAAGACGUUCGCGUCAACCGCGCCCUCUGCCAGUCGUGCCGGUUGCGAGCGCGUGCACUUUUCACCUGGUAGGACGCCGCGAUUCGUUGGGCGUCGGUCUACGGCAUGUGGUGGAGCCCGAUUGUCCCUAGGACAAGCGGACCCGCAUUUCCUGGCCGACUUGCUCGACGGUAUAUGAACGGUUGGUGGCCGCUCUCGCGAGCGCUCGACCCGUGGCAAGCACGUCAGACCAGUCGGCGACCGGACCUAGUCCGAUUCUGACUACUGGCGACUGUUGGCUGCGGUGUUUUCGGGCAGACCACUUCAUACAUAACCGAUCAGCGACGCUAUAGCUUUGGGUACUUUCAGGACCCGUCUUGAAACACGGACCAAGGAGUCUAGCAUGUGCGCGAGUCAUUGGGAUUCACUAAACCUAAAGGCGCAAUGAAAGUGAAGGUUUGUGCUUGCACAGACCGAGGGAAGAUGGGUGACUCGCCCUUAAAAGCGAUCAUCUAGCAUUCCCGGGGCGUCUCAUUCUCAUUGCGAGAGGAGGCGCACCAUGAGCGUACACGCUGGGACCCGAAAGAUGGUGAACUAUGCCUGGU
rnacentral:rRNA from 1 species